GAUUAUGGGAUGCUCUUAAAGGCUUGUCUGAAAACCAAACCAUUCUUCUCUCUAAAGCUCUUUCCUCCUUGAUAACAACUCAACACCUUGGCCAAAUUUUCAACUUCUGUUCUCUCUUGAAGCUUGGAUUUUGGAGGAUCUCUUCACCAGCAAGUUCAGAGAUUUCGGUAAAGAAUCUUAGUGCGUGGGACUUGGUGAACCCGACAGUGUAGCUCGGAGCCAGUACAUCUCCAUUCCUGGCUCACCCAGCUAGGAGGAGCAAGUCCUAGCCAUGUGCACAUGUUUUCUGUAGUAGCACUACCGGACAUGCGUGUCCGUUCCGACUGCGGUUGAAGAUCCAGCUUCGGCUGUUGAUAUUUUGUUCUGUUCCAACUUCACAAUCGAUGAUCUAGCCUCGUGCUGUUGAUUUCUGUUAUCAGUCAGGGAGAUGUACAUAUCUGUUUUUCUGCGUGUUUUCUGUAUUUUCUGAUUAUUUUUGUAUUCUGUCUGAAUUAUUAAUUAUUAUGUUAUAUCUGUAUUAUUCUGUUAUUUUCUGCGAUCCUACUAGGCCCUUGUGGCUCAUGUACUCUGUGAAUUUUUCCUUCCACAAGAGAAGAUCAAGUUUAGGAUCGGUGGGUUGUUCUGGGGCUUCUUCUGUAGUUGUUGACUUGUCAAACAACUGUUCUUUGAGGUUGUGAACUUUGUAUGUUAUUUUAUUCUGUAUGAGUGAAACUUGUAUUCUGUUUGUAUAAUUUGGCAUGUAAACUACUUGUGUACUCCGUAGGACUGUCAUAGUCCAUAUCUGUAUUAUCUCUGUUUCUGUGACUCUAUUUGUAGUCUAUAUUAUUGUUCUGUUCUACUUAU